rnacentral:lncRNA from 1 species
UUCCAAAAUAUUUCUUAUACCCUUUCAUCAGGGAAUAUCUCACACUGCCAACAACUGGAUACUCUUCAUCCACGGAGAACACUGUAACAACUAGUGAUUCUGGAUCAGAAACUUUGCAUAUGGCCUCUGGUGACCUUGACUGCAAAUCGCCCUGUGAGAAAAAGGACGGCAGCUUGGCUUCCACCAUGAUCGGCGCCAGUAAGUGUCAUGAGAAUACUCCAUGCCAAGACCCCAUGAGGGAAGAUAAAACCAAACCACAUCUGGUAAGGAAUGUGCACAUUGACAAUCAAGGCACAAAAUUGAAAUAUUCCAGUGGCUCAACUGUCCCUUUAAGUCUGCAAGAUUCUCUAAAAGCAUUAUUUUAUCCUUCACAAAGCAUUAUGAGGUUGCAGAAUUUAAUUUCAUCAACACUUUAUGGACAAAGAAGUAGAGGCCAAAGUGUUCUUGUGACAUCUAUGAGGUCACACAAUUGUCAGAGCUGGUUCCAUGGUGGUCACUCAUUCAUUCAUUGGAGGUCUGUCAGACAUGCUAAAUGUCUGUCUCAAUAG